UACGUAGGGUGCGAGCGUUAAUCGGAAUUACUGGGCGUAAAGCGUGCGUAGGCGGUUCGUUAAGUUCGUUGUGAAAGCCCCGGGCUCAACCUGGGAAUGGCAAUGGAAACUGGCGGGCUGGAGUAUGGCAGAGGGGGGUGGAAUUCCGCGUGUAGCAGUGAAAUGCGUAGAGAUGCGGAGGAACACCGAUGGCGAAGGCAGCCCCCUGGG
rnacentral:rRNA from 1 species